UACAGAGGGGGCAAGCGUUGUUCGGAAUUACUGGGCGUAAAGGGCGCGUAAGGCGGCCUUCUAAGUCGAACGUGAAAUCCCCGGGCUCAACCCGGGAACUGCGUCCGAUACUGGAAGGCUUGAAUCCGGGAGAGGGAUGCGGAAUUCCAGGUGUAGCGGUGAAAUGCGUAGAUAUCUGGAGGAACACCGGUGGCGAAGGCGGCAUCCUGGGACCGGCAUUGACGCUGACGGCGCGAAAGCCAGGGGAGCAAGCGGG
rnacentral:rRNA from 1 species